rnacentral:rRNA from 1 species
GACGAACGCUGGCGGCGUGCUUAACACAUGCAAGUCGAACGGAAAGGCCCUGCUUUUGUGGGGUGCUCGAGUGGCGAACGGGUGAGUAACACGUGAGUAACCUGCCCUUGACUUUGGGAUAACUUCAGGAAACUGGGGCUAAUACCGGAUAGGAGCUCCUGCUGCAUGGUGGGGGUUGGAAAGUUUCGGCGGUUGGGGAUGGACUCGCGGCUUAUCAGCUUGUUGGUGGGGUAGUGGUUUACCAAGGCUUUGACGGGUAGCCGGCCUGAGAGGGUGACCGGCCACAUUGGGACUGAGAUACGGCCCAGACUCCUACGGGAGGCAGCAGUGGGGAAUAUUGCACAAUGGGCGGAAGCCUGAUGCAGCAACGCCGCGUGCGGGAUGACGGCCUUCGGGUUGUAAACCGCUUUCGCCUGUGACGAAGCGUGAGUGACGGUAAUGGGUAAAGAAGCACCGGCCAACUACGUG